AAGCAUGCGUCGUAGUGUUAGUAGUGGGUUUUAAUCUUUUGCUUAUAAGAACAAUCUGAGUAGGGUGUAUUUUGUGGAACAAUAUGUUUCUCAUGAUGGUGCUGUAUUCGUCUUAUUGGUGGAUCUGUCAAAAAUACUCAGCAUAUUGUCAGUGUGUCUGGUGACUCUUAUUUUGUUAGUCUGAUUCGUUUGCGUCUUAUUCUAGCGGUGCUGCCUCUUUGGCACUGUGCAUGGCUAGAUACAAUUACAUUGUAAUUCACCUGUCUCUAAUCCGUGUUAAUGUAAGUGUUCCGUUGCUGUCCGUGUG
rnacentral:sRNA from 1 species